GAUGGGAUUAAGAUGGCAGAAUAGAAGGACUGGAGCUCAACUUCUCUCCUAAAAACAACAAAAUUCACAACUAAAGACUGAGCACACUUCACCAAAAUGGACCGGAAAUCUUAAAAAAGAUACCCUACUCCAUAAGAAAAAGAGGAGCCCACAUCAAGAGGUAGGAGGGCCAAUUUCACGAUAUAAACAACCCACACCUCCUGGGUGGGAAGCUCCACAGACUGGAAACUAACUGGUUCACAGAGACUCACCUACAGGAGUGAGAGUUCUGAGCCACACAUCAAACUCUCACGUGUGGGGAUCUGGCACAGGGAGAAAGAGCCCUGGAGCAUCUGGCAUUGAAGACCAGUGGGGCUUGUGCACAAGAGCUCCACAGGACUGGGGGAAACAGAGAACCCAUUCUUAAAAGGCACACACAGACUUUCACGUGCACUGAGUCCCAGGGCAAAGCAAAGUCCCCAUAGGAAUCUGGGUCAAACCUGACUGCAGUUCUUGGAGGACAUCCUGGGAAAACAGGGGUGAAUGUGGCUUGUUAUGAGGGAAGGACAUUGAAAGCAAAACUCUCGGGAAUAUUCAGCAGCUGCCUUUCUCUGGAGGUGGCCAUUUUGGGAAAAUCUGGCCCCAGCCAUCAGUCAGUCAGUGGUAAGAAGCCCCAGGGCAAACAACAAUCCAGGUGGGAUCACAGCCCCACCCAUCAGUAAACAGGCUACCAAAAGACCCCUCAGGCACACAGCUGCCUCUAAUACCAUCCAGAGACUAAGCCCUACCCACCAGAGGGAUUAGAAUCAGCUCCACCUACCAGGGGGCAGGCAUCAGCCCCUCCCAUCAGGAAGCCUACAGCAAGCCCCCAUACUGACUUCAGCCACACAGGGGGCAGACAUCAGAAGUAAGAGAGGCUACAACUCUACUAUCUGUGAAAAGGCCACCACACCAAAAACCUAUAAAAAUGAAAAGACAGAGAACUAUAACUCAGAUGAGGGAGAAAGGAAAAACCCCAGAAAAACAGCUAAGCCAUGAGGAGAUUCUCAGCCUCCAGGAAAAAGACUUUAGACUGUUGAUGCUGAAGAUGAUGCAAGGCAUUGGGAAUAAACUGGGGGCAAAGAUGGAUAACUUACAGGAAACACUGACCAAAGACAUACAAGAUAUAAAACUGAAACAAGAAGAGAUGCAAAAUACAAUCACUGAAAGAAAAAAUUCACUAGAAGCAGCCAACAGCAGAAUACAGGAGGCAGAAGAACGAAUAAGCGAGGUGCAGGACACAUUAGUGGAAAUUACAGAUGCAGAACAGAGAAGAGAAAGAAGAUUGAAAACAAAUGAAGAGAGUCUCAGAGAAUUCUGGGACAAUGUGAAAUGCACCAACAUCCAUAUUAUAGGGGUGCCAGAAGGAGAAGAGAGAGAGAAGGGUCAGAAAAAAUAUUCCAAGAGAUAAUAGCCGAAAACUUCCCUAACAUGGGAAAGGAACUACUCACUUAAAUCCAGCAAGCACAAGGAGUACCAUAUAAAAUAAACCCAAGGAGGAAUACACCGAGACACAUGUUAAUAAAACUGACCAAAGUUAAAGACAAAGAGAAAAUCUUGAAAGCAGCUAGGGAAAAGACACAAGUAACAUACAGGGAACUCCAAUAAUGUUAUUGGCAGAUUUUUCAGCAGAAACCCUGCAGGCCAGAAGGGAGUGGCAUGAUAUACUCAAUGUGAUGAAAGGGAAAAAACCUCCAACCAAGAUUACGCUACCCAGCAAGGCUCUCAUUCAGAUUUGAAGGAGAAAGCAAAACCUUCACAAAUAAGCAAAAACUGAGAGAAUUCAGCAACACUAAACCAGUCUUACAACAACUACUAAAGGAACUUCU
rnacentral:lncRNA from 1 species